AUCUUUUUGGGUUCGUGACGAGGUUUCGUUAGACAUCAAGACAUCAGCACUAGUGAGACUACCAAGACCAGUGAAGUG
rnacentral:pre_miRNA from 1 species